rnacentral:tRNA from 1 species
GGGGUUUUGAGCCCCUUAGUACAGGUUCGAGUCCUGUUUUUCUA